rnacentral:rRNA from 1 species
AUGUGGGAAGACUGCUUGCCUCAUAUUGAGUUUGCUUAUAAUCGUUCAUUGCAUUCUACUACUAAGAUGUGCCCUUUUGAAAUUGUGUAUGGUUUCCUACCUCGUGCACCUAUUGAUUUGUUGCCUCUUCCAUCUUCGGAGAAGGUUAAUUUUGAUGCUAAACAACGUGCUGAAUUGAUCUUAAAAAUGCAUGAGUUAACUAAGGAAAACAUUGAGCGUAUGAAUGCUAAAUAUAAAUUUGCUGGAGAUAAGGGUAGAAAACAUGUUGUGUUUGCACCUGGAGAUCUUGUUUGGUUACAUUUGCGUAAGGAUAGAUUUCCUGAUUUGCGCAAAUCAAAGCUAAUGCCACGUGCUGAUGGUCCUUUUAAGGUGUUAGAGAAAAUAAAUGAUAAUGCAUAUAAACUUGAGCUGCCUGCAGAUUUUGGGGUUAGUCCCACUUUUAAUAUUGCAGAUUUGAAGCCUUAUUUGGGUGAGGAAGAUGAGCUUCCGUCGAGGACGACUUCAUUUCAAGAAGGGGAGGAUGAUGAGGACAUCAAUACAAUUAUUACACCCACAGUCCCUGCUGCUAUACAUACUGGACCAAUUACUAGAGCUCGCGCACGCCAAUUAAAUUACCAGGAAACAGACCCUCGUGGUCAGGUUGAUCGUGCUCCGGCGUGGUCGAUAACCUCUCGGAGUUGGUUUAGCGAUUGCUAA